CAGAGGGCAGACAUCACAACCUUCAACCAUCUGUUUUUAAUAUAUUUGACCAAAUAUCUCUGGUUUAUUUAGUGCAACGCCACAUUUAUUACCAGCAUUCCUAAAGCCAAACGUUUUCUUCGGAAACACUCUCAAUGAACAUAUAAAACAUGAUGAUGAAUCACCCAAGGUUUCCUGGACUUUCAGUUAACCCUCUGGUUAGGAAGCAAACCUGCUCUGUCCUCAGUGGGAAACCCACUGGGAAGUUUUAUGCAGCCUCAGUCGACUGCAGUGAGUUUUAUAUCCACAGAGGGAGGUCGAGAGAGGAUGCAAGAGAGAGCUGGAAAACCAAGAGGAAAGAAGGAAAUGAUCUGGCUAUGUAAAAGAAGGGGGGUAAGGCAAGAUGCUUUCUCAAACAGAAGAUGGAGAAGAGGACAAGGGACAGAGCAGUUCAUCAGCUGCAGAACCAAAGGACGACGGGUCACGAUGCCAGAACCGCGAGGAAGAAAAUCCCUGUGACGCACAGACAGACAACAUGUUUAACGAUCAAUGUAACAAAAAAGGCAGAACUUAUACGUUAAAAAAAAUAACUACCAGUGUUAACAUUGGUGAGUUUGAAAAGUGACAAAUGUUAAAGACUGAGAGCUGACAACCCGGUAGCAAGAAGAACGGGAUGUGUGCGAGGAAGGAGCCAACAAUGAAAGCAGGAAGACCAUGUAUCUUUGGGAGUGCAACCAGAUAGAUAAAAAGCUUUGAGCUUCAUUGUUUGUGUGAUUGUAUGGCUGCUGCUCACUGUUGCAUGCUGGUAUUACUUGCAAAGGUAUAAAGAUCUUCAAAGACA